CUGACAACACUUCAUCAGUAACACUAAAUGUGACGGACUCCCCAUCUGGGUACAGUAGGGCUGGUGUUUACAUGCCACAACAGUCAGCGGGAUCUUUCGUGUGGCGGUGUGAAUAAACUCGCACUUGUAAGGGCACCAACAUGCGACAUCACCAGUGACAAGGACACAGAGACGCUUACCCUACAGCAGGAAGUGACACUGACUGUGAACAUUGCUGCGUAUUACGACAUACGAGGCUCCUACUGUUCUGCAGAAUCAAACUUCACACUGCAGACCGGGGAUGUCAAACAAAUUCUAACUGUUGGUGAUCAAGGUCUUCAACCAGUAACCUUUAAUGUGACCAAAACACACCUGGGUGGUGUAAAGCUGGUAUUCAACUGUCAAGACAAACACUGGAAUCUCAGCUGCGACGGUGUAACCGAACUCUAUAACA